GUACUACUGAAAAGUCUCACACUAAGACGAAACGGCCGUCCAGUAU
rnacentral:hammerhead_ribozyme from 1 species